GCAUGAAGAGGCACAAGAUGAUACAUGCAGAUAAUAGGCUAAACACUUCGAGUGUGGAAGGACUUAGCAUCCCCGCAGCCCGAUCAUCACCCUGGCCUCCACGUUGCUUGCUGGUCAACCAGGAUGUUGGACGCUGCUGCUCGCAGCCUGACGUAUGAGUCACAGCCUGGUUGAAAAGGUACACCACUUGAAUAUGGCGUUGCUUGUGUGGCUGUGGUGGCGAAGUGAUCUAGCCACAGUGGUGCGACCCAUCGUGGGGUUCCUGAUUUACGUCCUGGAUGAUCCCAGACGCGCCUUAGCCGGACCUCAGCACACGCCUUAGCCCGGACACAAGUUAAAACCCCUCAUUACGGCCUUUGUGGAUUUGUUCAUUAGAUGUAUCACGCUAUUGUGAUUUCUGUAUCAUAAGUGAUGUCCUUUUCCUUAGGAAUGUAUUCCAUGAUUUGUACAGAUAAAGGUUUGAUUGAUAACAGUUGUGUACCUCAACAUGUCUUGAUAAUAAACAAUAAAAGUAUAUUUGUGUUUAAAAACUGAUUAUUGCUGUCAAGU